rnacentral:tRNA from 1 species
GGGCUGGGGCUCAGUGGUAGAGCGCUCUCCUGGCCUGUGUGGGGUGCUGAGUUCGAUCCUCAGCACCACA